CCUACGGGUGGCAGCAGUGAGGAAUAUUGGUCAAUGGGCGCAAGCCUGAACCAGCCAAGUCGCGUGAGGGAUGACGGUCCUAUGGAUUGUAAAACUCUUUUGUCGGGGAGCAAGGCGCGACACGGGUGGCGGGAAGGAGAGUACCCGAAGGAAAAGCAUCGGCCAACUCCGUGCCAGCAGCAGCGAUAAUCCGGAGGAUGCGAGCGUUAUCCGGAUUUAUUGGGGUUAAAGGGUGAGUAGGAGGAAGGUUAAGUCAGCGGUCAAAUGUCGGUGCUCAACACCGGCCUGCCGUUGAAACUGGUCUUCUUGAGUGAGCGAGAAGUAUGCGGAAUGCGUGGUGUAGCGGUGAAAUGCAUAGAUAUCACGCAGAACUCCGAUUGCGAAGGCAGCAUACCGGCGCUCAACUGACGCUGAGGCACGAAAGCGUGGGGAUCGAACAGGAUUAGAUACCCGGGUAGUC
rnacentral:rRNA from 1 species